CCGCCGCGGGGUCAAGUGGGCUGACCGGCCAGUGGACGCCCGCAGGGGAGGGGGCGCCCCGCUCCUCCCUGGUCCUGUACAAGCCUCUCACGGUUGAUGGGGUCUCUCUCCCCUGAAGAUUCCCCACCUGAAGUCUGCUCUGCUCUGAAAUAAACCCAUCCCACCAUGGACACCUACAGCUCAGUCCCUACCUCUGAGACCCCGCCUGGCCUCGCGGGUGCGCACUUGACCUUGCGCUGUGGUCCUGUGGUGAAGGUUUAUCUUGUCUUCCUGGACAGAUGAACAGAUGAGGAACCUGAAGCUGAGACUAAGGGACUUCCCGAGGCUGCAGUCAGGCAGCAACAAGGCUGGGAUCAAGCUUGAGAGUAUCUUCCACCAACGCUCUGGUCAUCUGGUAGACCAGGGGCCUCCAGGGUGGGCCUCAGUGUCACCCAGCUCAGCUCCAGUCUAGGGUGCCUCGCCUCCCCGUCCGACAUUCUGCGGGGAGAUGCAGCGGGGUGCAGACAGCUGAGGUGAGUGUCCUCCGGCAGAGCGGACACCUGGGCAGGGAUUGGGGAAGGCUAGACU